GGCAACAAAAAUUAAAAACAAGUAAAGUCUUUCUUUAGGUGUAUAAGGAGUAAAAAGAAGGUGCCAUGGUAGCAUAGGAACCCUACAGGACAAACUAGGGUAAAUAGUGAUAGGUGGGGUGAGCGGGGCAAGGUUGAGCUCUUCAGUGAGUUUUUUGCUUCUGUAUUCCUGAACAUGGAACAGGACAGGUCUCCCAGUUGGAUGCUAGACAGGCAUAAAAGGGACACCAGCCCACCAAGUGUUUGUGCCAACUUGGUGAAGAGGCACUUGGAAAGACUGGGUGUGUUUAAGUCAGCAGACCCACGUGAUCUUCAUCCAAGGGUGCCAAAGGAUUUGGCAGCAUUAUAGGAGAGCCCCGACACAGCUGUUUGAGCACUCGUGGCACUCGGGUCAGGUCCCAGAGGGCUGGAAAAGGGCCAGUGCGGUCCCUACCUUUAAGAAAGGAAAGGAGGAUCCGGGUAACUAGACACCAGUUAGUCUCACUUCUGUUCUGAGGAAAACCUUUGAAAAGAUUAAGGAUCACAUUUGUGGGAGUCCUGGAAGGUGGGGGGAUGCUGAAGGGCAGUGAGCACAUAUUCAUAGCAGGUAGAUCCUGCCUGACUAACCUUGUUUCUUUUUAUGACCAGGUCACAAAAUGCUUACACACAGGAAUUGAGGUAGAUGUCAUCUACUUGCAUUUUAAGAAGGCCUUCAAUAUGGUAUCUCAUUCUAAUGUCAUUAAUAAACUGAGCCGCUGUCACGUAGAUGAUUACACGAUCAGGUGCAGGACAAACAGGUCCAGGGAGGUGAUGCUUACCCUCUACGCGACAUUGGUCGAGCUGCAGUUGGAGUACUCUGUCCGGUUUUGGACGCCACACUUCAAGAGGGAUGUGGACAACCUUGUGAGGGUUCAGAGGAGGGCAAAAGCUAGUCCUUGCGCUCCUGUCCUUGGAACCAGCUUAUCGGCGAGGAAGCGCAGCGUGACGUUCGGAACCAAAAGGCCCGGAGUAGAAGGGCCCCCGACAUCCGUCGCAUCUGCAACGGGUCCCUGCGUGAGCUACUGAGAAACGAGCGUUUGGGGCCCGCACCGGUCUCUCGGAAACAUCCGAGCCAGCCCUGGCAGCAGGUGCCUGCGCGUUCCUGCCUCGUACGCGGUCAGGGAACGCUACGCACCAGCAGUUGCCUCGGCUUCUGACCGGACGCACGGCGUUUGCUCGCAAGCAUCCAAAGCUAGCACCUCCAGCGGCUGCAGCUGUUGCUUCCCAACUACUAGGAGAGCCUUGCAAAAGCAAUGGCCUGCCCCUGGGCCAGGCUGAUACCAGUGGCUCAGACCCAGAGACUUGCUGUUGUACCUCCCGGUGUCUGGAUUAGGUGUCGAGCACUUGGAACUCUGGCAGCUUCAGCACAUAUUAACCUCUCGUCCUCCUGUGGCCAACACCACGGAGCCCGUGACCCUAAUGUUUCUGUCAGCCUCUGUCCCACCCUUCCCCUGAAGGCCUCCCGUGAAAUCCCUUGUCCCAUCACAGUCUGCAGGUUGGCUCCAGCGGUAUUUCCCAGCUGCACGUGGAGAGUUGCAAGGGAGUGUCAGUGAGGAGCUGCAGCGUGAAAGAAGUGGGACUUGGAAAUAUCCAAGGGACCACGGGUAACAGUUUGACGGGCGUCACGUAGACUCGUUUUGCUGAAACUUUGGGAACGGGACCGAACCCAUUUUCCUGUGCGCUUGGACCUGCAGAUGGCUGGGGCCCGUGUCCCUGGGGAAACUCCGAGUCUGGAAGGGAGGAACACUGCUCAUCUCUCUCCCUGCCUGCCUGGGAACGCUCCUUGCCUUGUGUUUGUUAGACUCUGCCAUUUAGACCUAUUUUAACUUGUAACAGGGUCACAAAACCAAAUGCCAGUUGCUGCUCGUAGCUGCCGUUUCCCAUCGUUCCAGAAAGCAGCUACUCGCUCUUGGUCUUGUCUGGUAUUAAAGUCUUGAGAAACAGAAUUUUAUUCCACUUUUUUUGGCCGUUCCUUGGGAUGUAAGUGUAGGCUCACGGCCUAUUCCUUGUAUGCCAGCUUAAGCACGUGUCGUUCUUAAGUUAGGCUUCUGGUAGGUGUGUAGUCUGCAAUACUGAGCGUGGUCUGUCAGGCCCUGACCAUGUUUUCAGUUUACACCGAGGGGAAUCUGCCCAUAGCCUUCCUUCCCCUUUCUCAUCACCAUCUUCGUAACAUCCCUGCCUCUUUACUUGUCGCUCAUUUCAGGAGCUGUUGUGUGCCAGUGCUUCUGUUCCCUGGUGCUUUCCCCGGGUACCCACCCUGUCUCCUGUACGUGGUGGAGGACCGGUUUAAGGAGUUGCACGGAGGGCCUCACAGAAGUCCUGUGUGGUCAUGGGUUUACAAUGAAGACUUGCAGCUGUGUGUUACUAUUUCUGGGGUGUGCCGUGUGUGAGGUGCAGCUGUCAGAGGAACGCUUUGGAGAUGUCGCUCACACAGGGAAGCAAAAUUGUUCUGCUCCCCACUACUGAGCUUUACAGGGUGAUACCUGUGAGACAUCACAUCCCCUGUCCAAACCUGAGCCAUCUGAGCAGGGGAAGUGGCGUGGGAGCGGGGGCCAAGAUACCUGGUUGACAGCCCAGACUGCAAGUUGAAGGCUGCAAUGGAAGCGCUCAGAGUGUGGCCUGUCAGAUUCCAACAAAAUCUGUCAAGUCUCACAUGUAGCUUAUCACAAGGAAACGAAAAAGAAAAGGACAUGAGCAGGGGCCCAUGUUAGAGUCUUAGUGCAUUGGUCAGCGAUUGGGGGUGAGGGGGUGCAUGUCCCUCCUUCACUGCUUGUGUGUUGACUGUCAUUGUUAAAGGACCAGGGUUGGGGGCGGGGGCAUUCUUGGCUGCUUGGCCAAGUGCCUGGGGGAAGAGCUAGGAGGGAGGGGGAGGUUCAGCAACCCCGGACUGGCCAGGUCUCCCCCUGCCUCCCACAGGACUGCGCUACCUGCUACUGGCAGUGACUCUGCCUGGAGCAGUUGGCAGGCCCUUGUAAGCAGCCUGCACUGCUUGGGAGAUGUGGGCUGUGACACCUUGGUUUUCUGGACUGUGGUAAGAAAGCAAACAGCCUUGUAGUACAGGCUUCAGUUGUGGGACUGCACCCUGUUGUUGAGACCCCCCCCAGGGGCUUAUUUCUUGUAUGUCCAUGCAGGAUAGUUGGAGGGGUGGGGAAUGGAAGGAAGAGGCAUGGAUGAGACCUGCAUCUUCUGUUCAGCAAAUUUCUGUAAGUAAUGUUAGUACUACUAAUAUUAUCCCUGUUCUGAUUCUUACUAUUACUAUUAUUUGUUUUCCCAUAUACUUUGCCAACAAAGCACCUGGCAGGUCCAGUAAGAAAAGGAAGUUUCCAAACAGGUGACAGAAGGAAACCAAAUGAUUUAAGUAUGCAAGUGGUGGUGGUGGUGUUGGGAAGGUUCAGGAACCAUGGGGGAGGCAAGAUUUUUUGUUAUGUCUCGUGUGGCAACAACAGCACGGUUUGGACGGACAGAAGCAAGGUUUUCGGCAUCCCAGUCCCCUUUUUCAGUCCUGGUUCCUUCCCAGCAUCCUGAAGAAAGGUACUGUCAUACCCCAAAGGUUGCCUGUAUCUUACAGUUGGUCUGGUAAAACAGGGGUCAAAAAACCUAUGGCCUGUGGUUUGGAUCCAGCCUGUGAAGAAACUGGUUCUAGCCUGUAGCAGUUCAACCAAGGAGCAGCACACUCCCACGGUGACAGCAGCAGGGACAUCCCCAGCGGCCUGUUGCCACUGCGUUCAGUUUGUUCUUUGUGCUGCAGCAGAAGCAGCCUCCCCAGGGUCCCGGCCCCUACCUCUUUCUUUUGAGUCCCUUCACAGCCUGUGGAGAUUGCCGGGGAGCAAGCUGGCACGUUGGCAACGGUGCACAACGGCAAAAGAACGGCCCUUCCCUGCAAGGAAAGAUUGCACCUAACUCCGAGCGAGCAGAGCAGAGCAGAGCAUGGACACAAAGCGAGAUGCUCAUCAGUAGGGUAGUCUGGCCUUGCCGUUGCUAGGAGUGCCCAAGUAGGGAGGUGUUGGAAUAAUUUCUCAGCUUUUUCCCUAGAUCGCUCUAAGAGGAGAGGGGAGCGCUAAGCACACUUGGGUUCGUGCACGCUCCUCAUCAUUUUCACAAGCGGACGGCAGGAGAAAGUUUGCGGUCAGCGAUAGCAGCACAAGGCUGCGCAACCAGGCUGGGGAACGUGGGGCUCUUUCCUAAACCAGGAGUGGCAGGACUUGCACAGCUUUGCCAGGAUCCUGGCUGUUGUGGAGAGACUUUGGGUUGGAGAUGGAUGCAAAGAAGUGGAGGCGUGCCAUGGUGAUGGAGGAUAGAGCAGGAGGAGUAGUGUGAUGGAAGGUGGACUUACCUCAAGCGGGGGUGGUGUUUUGAGUGGGGGUGUCUGGGUGGGCUGGGAAGUCCCUGCUCUGGGUUGGUGUCCUGAGCUGCAUGCUCCCAGGGCAGGGCUACUCAAGCGGAGGGCCAUGGCACCCAGGAGUGCCUCUGAGAUGAGUGGUGUACGGCUGGGCUGGCUUGGCCCAGAGUUGCUCUGAGUCUGUGCAAAGAUCUCCAGGUUGCGGUGGGACAGAGGAUUGGGUCUCUGCCUGGCUGUACCUGUUGCCACAUGCCUCCUUUCAGUGCUGGGAAUUGCAUUUAUGUCUCAUCUCUCUGGGUGUGUCACUGGUGUCUGUCUUUGUACUUCUGUUCUUAAAAAUCACUGCAGCACUUGUUACUUUGUUCUUCCCAGGACUGAAAGGAGGGUUGUGUUUGCAUGUAAAUUGAUCCCCUCACUUGGGAGGGGUGUAGCUGCAGCCCCCUGCGGUUUGUUAGUGGGGCCAGUCCAAGCUGCUGUUGUACCCCGGUUGGGAGGGAGGGGAUGCUGUCCCGUUGGUGCUGUGAGACCUGCGCAUAGCGCUGCAAGUGUUAAUUGCUGUUGUUCAUUUUUGGCGGUGUGGACAUGUUUGGCAAGAUGACCAAAGUCUGGUCCUGAGUGGAGAAGAGCUGAGGAAGAGGUGAAGAGCCCUGGAGCUGGUAUGGCGUGGAAGGAGUUGGAGACGGCCUGAAGCCAUGCUCACGUGAUCACCUGGAGCGAGCAGGUGCCUGCAUCGUAUCUGGGAAAGGGAUAGCAAGCAUGAGGACUGAUGGCGCACAAGGACUGAAGGCGCAGCGUGAUGCCAGGUGUGGAGCCAUCUUCUGAAGGCUUGAGGGCUGUGGAGCAGACUCUGUGAAGAUGAAGUGAAGAGUCCCAGAGAUGGUGCAGGAGGAAAUGGGCAGCCCUGUUGUGACUUCCUGAUUUGCGUGGUGUGAGGCCUCUUCCCCUGUGGCAUCACCUGGCUGGAGUCUGGGGAGGUUUUGUGUGUAGCUUUGCAGGCGGUGCGUCUCCGCUCCCACUUCUUGCUGUGAGGAUGCCUGGAUAAGCAGCAGCAUGAUUGUGGCUGGGUGGCCUCAAUGUUGUGGGGGAGAGGAACAGAAGCGAGGCUUCUGCGGUGGUGGUAGAAGAUGGAGGAACUGGAUCCCGAAAGCGUGAGUGGAGAAGAGCUGAGGCGAAGAGACCUAGAGCCAGCGCUAGGUAGAAGCGGGUGGAGGAAGCAGGUGGUUGUGCAGCCAUGCUCGCUUCUGGGUCACCUGGAGGGAGGCCUCUGCCUGUUCGGUGGACCUGUGUGCAUGAGCAGAGCCUGCAGAGGUCCCUGCCUCCCCUGUGUGGAGAGGAUGGCAAGGAGGGAGGAGAGUGCGCCGGAGGAAGAGGAGCGCGAUGCCAGGUCCCAUGAGUGCUGUCUCUUGGGGGUCCUGACCUGUGCAGAGGGAAAUGACUGCCGGUUGAAGGAGUGAAGCUGAGCAGCGCCCACGGAGGGUGAAGCAGGAGGAACUCGAUGCCGCACGGCGUGUCGGUGCCGGAUUGGCAGUUCUGGCAAUUGGUUUCUGUUUUUCUCCAGCCCAGUCCUGGGUGUUGGGCAUUGACUAGGUAGGGUAGACGACUGGAGAUCGAUCUGGAUGUUUCUGACUGGGUCCUGGUCCUUGGAGAGAAGUUUGAGCAGAGAAGGGUGGAAGAUGGAGGCAGAGAGGAUGGUGCAAGCAGGGGGUCUUUUUACCAAGACUUUUGGGGCAGGGAGGAGAAGUGGAGAUUGGGCAGAAGAAGAGAAGACAUCUUGAAGUCAUGAACCAUGGAGCUGCCUGUCAUUGGUGCUUGUGCUGUAGCUCUGUCGUGAGGAGCAGGGCAGGGGCAGUGACAUGCUGAGGGCUGGAGAAGGAGCACCACAAAGAUGGCUGUGAGGCCUUGGUCAGGCGUGAAGUAUGUGAGCCAGGAGAGUCGUACAGCACACACGCAGGAUGGAGUCAUCUGGCUGAGGCUCGAGGCUCCUAAGUGGGCAUCGGGAAGAAGAGGUGGAGAUAUAGCGCCUGUGACCUGAGGAAGCUGGUGAAAGAAACGGAUGUCGGCGCAUUCGCUUUGCGGUUGCCCGGUGUGAGACUUCUGCCCGUGUGGUGGCCCUGGGCUGGAAGCCUUGCUGCGUGAAGCCUGCGAUAGAUGUUGGAUUGCUGCUCCCUGUGUGGUGAGAAGGAUUGGCUGCAAUGACUGGAGGCCUGGAAAAGGAGCCGUGUGGCCAGGGUCCUGGCCUGCAUGGAGGGAAGUAGGUGAGAGGACUGCAUCGUGGAAGAGCCGUGGGACAGUGUUGGAUGACAGACACGGACCGGCCGGAUGUUGCCCACUACGUUGGAAUGUCCCUUCUGUAUUGGGAUUCUGCGUGGGGGUGUGGGGUGGGUUUGGGCGUGUCCUCAGCUUUAUGAUCCUGGAGCCAGGGGUUUGCAAGUAGUAUGUUUGGGUCAGUUUGUCUGUGCUGUGGGUGGACCUAGGGUGACCAGAGGUGAAAUCCAUUCCUGUGACCCUGUAGUUGGACGAGCACCCAGACACUUGCAGGAACCGCUGGGCAAGCAGGCCCAGAGCUUUCAACUGUUGAGCACGGCAAUGCUGGAGCCAGCUAGCAUGGAAGCAGAAGGGCCGGCCGGGCGCGGGGCCCGGGCUGCCUCUGUGGCUUCUGUGCUAGUGAGGUUGAGAAUUGCAGUGCUGGGGGGUUGGAGGUUUUGGACCUGCUUGUGCAGGGUUCUUGUUGGUGUUGGGGUGCUGGUUCUGCUGGGUCAGAGCAAUGGGUUUUAUUCUGCCUGGCUGCCAUGUUUACCGUGUCCUACAGGGCUGGGAGCCUGUCGUAGCAGCGUGUGUUUGGCUGGGGCGGGGUGGUUGUCUGGUUUGGUCCCUGAGCAGUGUGGUGAGCAUGUUUGUUAUUACCCUGAAAUAAAAUAGUUUUCUGAUAGCCUACUGUUAGGCUAACAAUAAUUUAGAUUAUUAAGAAGUAUUAGCUUUGCAGUUGAAUACAAGGCAUGACCUGUGGCCUAGCAAUGCCGCUGACCACAAGGCAGAAUGAUAGCUAAGCCUUUGCUUAUGUUAAGUAAUCAUUUUAACUGUGUUGACUAUUUUCUGAGUAAAAUGCAGCAAGUGAAUCUGUCUGUGUGCUGUAAACCAGAUACAGCAAGGAACAAGGAGUCUCUCUAGUGUUUACACAGGUCAGCUGCUUUGGUUCAGCCGGUACCCCUGGACUGUAACCUUCACUCCUAUCAAUCAGGACGCUGAGUUUGGGUAAAACAACAUCGGCGAAAAACCGCCUCGGCCCAAGUCUGGGCAGGUCCGUACCAAGUUCUUCUUACUAUACACGCUGCUGUGAAAAUCGCCGAGAAAGAGGGCCGGAUUCAUCGCGGUCGCCUCAAACCUGGUAUCGGCAAGUAAUGACCGGUCAGCUGCUGUUCCGCCUUUAUGGCUAGAAAGAAUCGGAGAAUCGUGGACCGUUCAGACUCCUUAAUAGAAAUGAUACGUGUAUUAAGCUUGCUUUGUAUUAUCUUUCUUGUUAUACUUUGUGUUUGUAUUUCACUGUGGAUGCAGGGAAGGUUAUAAGUUAAUAAUGGCAUUUCACCGGGCUAUCCUAACAGGAUUAUUGCUCUUGAUGCAUAAAACACCAUGGCUAUUUAUGGGAAAGCGAUACAGAACAGGAAGACCAGUGGAAAGAUAAUACUUACCUGAUUUCCACUAUAGCUAUAGCACAGGCCCUAAAAUUUGUCUAAUGGUUGGAUAUGUGGUACACAGUCUCCUUCUAUUAACUUUCCACCCUAUCCUUUAAUCUCUUGGGAAGGGAUUUUUUCUAAUCCAGAGUGGGUUGAUACGGAUAGAGCUGGAAUAAGUACCUGGCAGGACAAUCCUUAUUUUAAAGAGAGAGUACUUUCAGACAUCAUGUUAUCUGCCCAGGUGUGUUGGGAAAAUCCUCAUGGAAUAGGAAAAGAGAUUUUUAGGAUGGCAACCAGGUUGUAAACUAACCAUUAAUGCCACACACUUAAUUUGGCCUAACAAUACUGCAGUGGGGACUAAAGAAGCUGAAAAGAAAGGUUACAUCCCCUGGAAUGCGUCUGCUCCCUGCAGUUCCUUGCAGCGUCCUUAUGUAAGGCAAUGUAUGGAAGGUUCCAUCCGAUGCUCCGCCCCUAAUAAAACUUGGGCUUGGAGUCACGGCUGUUUCACGUCUUGCAUAUACAGCUCCUUUGCAAAGCCAAGUUGUUCGUAUGUUAACUAUACCAUUUACAGAGACGGUUCAGUACCUUGCCCCAGAGAUCCUCAUACUACCGCAUCAAUCAACUGGCACAUGCAAUAGAACUUAUUGCGAAUAGCACAGCAGAGGGCAUUGAAUUAGUGCAAGACCAGGCUUCUUGCAACCAUGCUAUGACUUUAGAAAAUCGCUUCGCUUUAGACUAUUUGUUAGCUAGAGAAGGAGGGGUAUGUGCUUUAAUCACAGGAGGACCCUGCUGCCCCUAUAUUCCUGACCACUCUGACAACAUAACUGCUGCAGUAAAAACCAUUCGAGACACAGCACGACUUCUUUGCGAAGUUGGUCAGUAAUAGAACGGAUUGCCUCAACUUUAGGAAUGUGGGGAAGGUAUAUCUUAGAAUACAUUUUAUGGGGAUUAGGAAUCUUCUUGGUUAUUAUUGUAAUAAUUGCUGUAAUUACAGCCUGUGUAGUUUGAGUUAAGCAAAAAGUAAUUAAUCUCAAUAUUAUGCAAACCUGGGAAAUGGCCAGCAGGCCAUAGGCCUGUGGCUGUAAGGGGGGAUUGUUAGAAACUAUUGUUGGAAAAUCAGUGUGACCUUUGUAUCACCUUUGGGCAAUGCUAGCUGAUGCAACCUUGCAGUAAGAUUGCCAUGAUCUGUCAAUAUAGGCGGGCAAACAAGGUGAUUGGGCCCAACCAUGCGGGGUGAGCAAAGCCAAGCCAUCUUCUUGAUUUCCUCUGAGUUUUGCACAUGUGUUAUGAAGGAGCUUAUGUAACGAGAGUUUAUAAAGCUACAUGUUGAGUUGCAGUUGGGGUCUCUGUUCCCUUAUGCGGACAGGGGACCUUCGGCCCAAUAAACUGAAAAGACCACACCCUUGUCUGCUGCUUAUUGGAGUCUCAGCUGGGAAACGAGCCCUGUUUGGGUUAAGAGAGUCUGCAGGUGUUCCCUUACCAGCUUGGGAGUCUGGUCAGACAAUUUCUCUCACAAUUAAUUUGUAGCUUUUAGAAAGUGCUAGUUCAGCUUAAUAGAAAUAUGCUGUUAUGAAGAUUUGUAAAGCACAGCCCAAGUAUUGCUUUUGGUUAACCCUUGUAGCGCGCAAGUUUGUUAUUACCCUGAAAUAGAAUAGUUUUCUGAUAGCAUACUGUUAGGUUAACAAUAAUUUGGAUUAUUAAGAAGUAUUAGCUUUACAGCUGAAUACAAGGCAUGCCCUGUGGCCUAGCAAUGCAGCUGACCACAAGGCAGAAUGAUAGCUAGGCCUUUGCUUAUGUCAAGUAAUCAUUUUAACUACACCAAGCAUUUUCUGAGUUAAAAAGUGAAUCUGUGUCUGUGUGCUAAAAAAAAUCAGCUACAGCAAAAAGUAAGAUAAAACAGAGAAACCAUUGUUUGAGCUUACUGGUUGUGUCCUUGAAAAAUAUCUUCUACUGUAUAAGGUUUUGCUAACAUAAUGUUACUGUUACUUAACUUUUAGCUUUAAAAAGUGCUAGUUCAGCUUAAUAAAAAUAUGCUGUUACAAAGAUUUAUAGAACACCGCCCCAAGUAUUGCUUUUUGUUAAACAUAUAGUUUUGCUUUGUUGUAAAAAAUAUAAAAGAUCGCCUCACCCUUGAGGGGGGGCCUUUUUGCCUUUUGCUGGCUUUAUGGUCUUUGCUCGAGCAAAUAAACAGCUGUCUUUCUUUACCCGCGUUGUCUGUCAAUCAAAUUACAGCUAGACAACGGACCUUAGGGAGAUUUCUCCCACCACACCCUGUAGUCUUGCCUUAUUGUAAAAAGUCUAAAAGAACACCCCACCCUUGAGUGGGGGGCAUUUUGGCUUUUUGCUGGCUUAUGGUCAUUGCUCGAGCAAAUAAACGGCAGUAAAUCUUUACCUGCGUUGCUUGGUUUCUAUUGCAGCUAGACAACAAACUCCUCCUGGGAGUUUUCUCCCACCACAGCAGGAAGGAGGAUGUUGAAGGUUUCUGAGCCAUAAGCUCGAGCCCUCUCUUUGGAAGGGGUGUUAGAAAAUAUUGUUAGAAAAUUAAUGUGACCUCUGUAUGACCUUGGAUCAAUGCUGGCUGAUGCAACCUUGCACUAAGAUUGCUGGUGAUAUGUCAAUCUUGGCGGACAAGCAAGGUGAUUGGGCCCAACCAUGCGGGGUGAGCAAAGUCAUGCCAUUUUAGCAAUUUUUUGCUGGGUUUUGCACAUGUGUUAUGGGAAAGGCUUAUGUAACAAAAGUUCAUAAAUAUGUGUUGAGUUGGAGUCGGGGUCUCUCUGCCCUUACGAGGACAGGGGACCUUCAGUCAAAUAAACUGAAAAGACCACACCCUCGUCUCCUGCUUAUUGGAGUCUCAGCUGGUCUAGGAGCCCCCUUAGGGUUAAGAGAGUCUGCAGGUGUUCCCUUACGAGAUUGGGAGCCUGGCCAGACAAUUUCUCUGAUGGGGAAAGCAGAGCCGUCUGUUACUCAGCUUUGUUUUGUUGUUGCCCAUAGUGGAGGUAUUGCAAAAAUGUAUCAUCUCACUACACCAAAGGCUUCUCAGCUGAAAACUGUAAACUGCAAAUUGUUUCUUCUUCUCUCUCCCACAUCACUGCGGGGCCAGGAGGCGGGGGGUUGUGUUAGGGGGAGAGAACAGUCUGAACAAUGCUUGCUUCACGAUAAGGCUGACUCCUGUGGGAACACAGAUUAGUUACUGCCUGCUUUGCACAUAAACUUUGCAGAAAACUGUAGCAAAUGACAGAUUGGCACAAUGGAAUCUUGUUCAGGAGAGGUAUAAAAAUGUAUCGUUGGGCAUGGCUAGGGGUCAACAUGACUGAGCUUUGAGCUCCGUUGUCGAUCUGUUUGCAAGCAAACAUACUUGUAAUGGAUCCAGGCUAAGUGUGUAUAACUCUCUCUUGAGGUAUAUGGAAAAAGCCUCCAGAAACACGAAACUAGCCGUUUGUGCAACAGAGGCACAACUGGGAAGCACCCCCCUCCCCGUCAGCUUAACCACCCUCUCGUGCGUCCAAGGCCCCUGCCUUGCAGUGCCUCUUGGGCCUGUGUGGUGUUGCUGGUCGUUGUGGGUUUUUUUUGGGGGGGGGGGAGUGUGAGGAGGGUGCAGCCAAGGUGAUGGCUCCUGUGGAGAAGGGGGUAGAAGCAGAAGUAGUUAUGAAGAGCCUGGGUGCUGGGCUGAUGUGGGAGAAAACUCCCUGGUGUUCGUUGUGUAGCUGGCUUAGAGACCAGACAACAGGGGUGAAGGGGUAACUGCAGUUUAUCUACUCGAGUACAGACCAUAAAACAGCAAAGAGGUAAAAUGGCCUUGACUUAAGGGUGAGGCUGUCUUAUAUACAUUUUCUAAGAAAGGAACUACAAGGUUAUUGAAUAUGCAAUACUUAUGGUAAUCAUCUCCUUACAUGGUGCAUUACAAAUCUCAGCACUUUUGCAGAGGAAAAAAGUUAGUGUUAUCUUACACAUUGCAAUCUGUUAUCCUGUACUCCGCUGUACCAUCUUCUUCCCUCUGGGCCCCCCCCCCCCGCCUUAUCUUAUCUGACUUCUAGCUGCAGCUGGUACCCAGUACACAGACUUAAUUUCUGCUUUUUUCUAACAAAAUGGUUAGGGCACUUGACAUAAGAAAAUAGUUGGCUUAGAGAUCAUUCUGUCUUGUGGUCAGGAAAACUGCUAGGCCACAGGUCAUGCCUAGUGUUUAGCUACGAAGCUAAUACUAUGUAAUAAUCUAAAUUACCCUGAAAUUAAAUAGUUUUCUAUAGUAUACUGUUCACAAGAAAGACAAACUUGCCCAUCACUCUGACUGUGAGGUGGAAGAGGUGCCAGGAGGAUGUGUGGGGUCUGAGUUGUGCCUUGGUGUGUGCUUAGUUGGGUGAGAGGGGUGCGAAGCUGCCUGGGUGUGGUGGGAUCGUGCUCUGCUCCCUUGCUUGUUUGCUUUGUUUGGUGAUGUUUGUGUGUGUCCUUGUGUUGUUUGUUGUGAGGCUGGCAAUGUUUUCUUCCUGGUGGUUUGUUUUGUACAUGGCUGUUUGCUCACCUCCUGUCUACUGACCUUUUUGUAUGUAACAUGUAGAGGAACUUGUGGGCCAGCCUGGAAAAAUAAAAUAAAGGAGAAAUGGUUUUGGCA